AUGCGUGCCCUCUUCUGGAACAUCCGCGGUUUCGGCCAUGAUGGCCGCCGCCGCCAACUCAUUGAGUACAUGCGAGAUGAACACAUUGACAUUGUCGCCAUCCAAGAAACCAUGCGCACAGUAUUCUCCCUCCCGGAACUCGACCGCCUUAGCACCCACCUCUUCGCCUGGCAUUGGCUCCCUUCUAGUGGGAGCUCGGGCCAUUCCGGUGGCAUCCUGUUAGGCGUGAAGGAUGCCACCUUCGAGGUGGGCAGUAUGGACCGGGGCCAGUUCUUUGUUAGCAUGGAACUUUUUGAACGUGCCCUCAACUUCAAGUGGGAGGUUAUUAUCGUCUACGGCCCCGCCGACCAUAGUCGGUCCGCCUCCUUCCUCGAGGAGCUCCACCGGAAGGUUUCGGCUGCUUCGCUUCCGGUGGUAGUUGGAGGCAAUUUUAACCUCCUGCGUUUCGCGGAAGACAAGAGCAAUUCGCACGUCAACUUUGCGCGUAUGCAAAUGUUCAAUGACUGCAUUGCUGACCUUGGUCUCCGUGAAAUAGAUAGGGUUGGUGCCAGGUUCACCUGGACCAACCGUCAGGCUGCUCCGACCCAGUCCGUCCUGGACCAGGUCCUAGUUUCCCCGGAAUGGGACCUCCGUUGCUCUCUUGCCUCCCUCCGGGCCAUUACUCGGAUCGGUUCCGACAACGUCCCCCUCCUUCUUUCUUCUGCUGACGAGCGCCCCCCGAUCCCUCCCCGAUUUUGGUUUGAGACAUUUUGGUUGUCCCAAGCUGGCUUCGUCGAGGCUGUUGGCGCCCGUUGGGUGGAGGCUCACGCCCAACCUCAGUCCCAGUCUUGCCCCCCUCCGCCAUCGACUCGUGGCAUUUCUGUGCCAAGCGAGGCCGUCAGUUCAUGA
rnacentral:rRNA from 1 species